rnacentral:rRNA from 1 species
UACGGAGGGUGCAAACGUUGCUCGGAAUCAUUGGGCGUAAAGCGCACGUAGGCGGCCUGUUAAGUCGGGUGUGAAAGCCCUGGGCUCAACCCAGGAAGUGCACUCGAAACUGGCGGGCUUGAAUAUGGAAGAGGGUCGCGGAAUUCCCGGUGUAGAGGUGAAAUUCGUAGAUAUCGGGAGGAACACCAGUGGCGAAGGCGGCGACCUGG